rnacentral:lncRNA from 1 species
CGACAUUAUUUUGCAGAAAGGUAAAAACUAUCCAUAUCAGCCAAGGAACGACAGCAAUCAGCUAAACAAAGUUGAUUGGACGCAAUCAGCUCCCCUUUCACACAUGUCAAAUGCAAUUUUACAACUCAGUUGGCUUGCACGUUGCAUCACAAGUCUUAAGCACAGGUGGAUGUCUGUCUGGCGAGCCUUGCACCCCGGAGAGGGCACAGGAAACAACGCACCACUAUAAGUUAACACCCAGUUGCAAUAUAUUUAUGCUUCCUAAUACAAAUAUCUGAAAACAAAAGAUUGCCAAACUACCAACGGCUGAAUUAUUCUGAAUGUACAGAUAAAAACAAGCACUAAACCAUAAUAGGUGAAUCUAUUCUCUCGGAAGCAAUUUACAUCUUGGAGGCAGCCAUCACAACCAACUGUUUCCAGCCAAUGAUCAUCAUGAACCUAAUGUUGGGGCGGCUUCCUUAACAGAUAGAUAACCACUGCAGCAAGCAAAACAAGUGUUGUGUCAGAUGAAAGAGAGUAGAGUUGCGUUUUGUGCAAACUAUUAUAGAG